GAUGAUCAGCCACACUGGAACUGAGACACGGUCCAGACUCCUACGGGAGGCAGCAGUGGGGAAUAUUGCACAAUGGGCGCAAGCCUGAUGCAGCCAUGCCGCGUGUGUGAAGAAGGCCUUCGGGUUGUAAAGCACUUUCAGUCGUGAGGAAGGUGGUGUAGUUAAUAGCUGCAUUACUUGACGUUAGCGACAGAAGAAGCACCGGCUAACUCCGUGCCAGCAGCCGCGGUAAUACGGAGGGUGCGAGCGUUAAUCGGAAUUACUGGGCGUAAAGCGCAUGCGRGUGGUUUGUUAAGUCAGAUGUGAAAGCCCGGGGCUCAACCUCGGAAUAGCAUUUGAAACUGGCAGACUAGAGUACUGUAGAGGGGGGUAGAAUUUCAGGUGUAGCGGUGAAAUGCGUAGAGAUCUGAAAAGGAAUACCGGUGGCGAGGGCGCCCCCCAGGACAGAUACUGACACUYAGAUGCGANAAGCGKGGGGAGCAAACAGGAUUAGAUAUCCUNGGUACACWCCACGCCGUAAACGAUNGUCUACUUGGAGGUUGUSCCUCGAGCCGUGGCUUUYGGAGCUAACGCGUUAAGUAGACCGCCUGGGGAGUACGGUCGCAAGAUUAAAACUCAAAUGAAUUGACGGGGGCCCGCACAAGCGGUGGAGCAUGUGGUUUAAUUCGAUGCAACGCGAAGAACCUUACCUACUCUUGACANUCCAGAGAACUUNCUCCAGAGAUGGAUCYGGUGCCUUNCGGGAANCUCUGAGACAGGUGCUGCAUGGCUGUCGUCAGCUCGUGUUGUGAAAUGUUGGGUUAAGUCCCGCAACGAGCGCAACCCUUAUYYUUGUUUGCCAGCGAGUAAUGUCGGGAACUCCAGGGAGACUGCCGGUGAUAAACCGGAGGAAGGUGGGGACGACGUCAAGUCAUCAUGGCCCUUA
rnacentral:rRNA from 1 species